AGUGAACGCUGGCGGUAGGCCUAACACAUGCAAGUCGAACGGCAGCACAGUAAGAGCUUGCUCUUACGGGUGGCGAGUGGCGGACGGGUGAGGAAUACAUCGGAAUCUACUUUUUCGUGGGGGAUAACGUAGGGAAACUUACGCUAAUACCGCAUACGACCUACGGGUGAAAGCAGGGGAUCUUCGGACCUUGCGCGUUUGAAUGAGCCGAUGUCGGAUUAGCUAGUUGGCGGGGUAAAGGCCCACCAAGGCGACGAUCCGUAGCUGGUCUGAGAGGAUGAUCAGCCACACUGGAACUGAGACACGGUCCAGACUCCUACGGGAGGCAGCAGUGGGGAAUAUUGGACAAUGGGCGCAAGCCUGAUCCAGCCAUACCGCGUGGGUGAAGAAGGCCUUCGGGUUGUAAAGCCCUUUUGCUGGGAAAGAAAAGCAGCAGGUUAAUACCCCGCUGUUCUGACGGUACCCAAAGAAUAAGCACCGGCUAACUUCGUG
rnacentral:rRNA from 1 species